GACGAACGCUGGCGGCGUGCCUAAUACAUGCAAGUAGAACGCUGAAGAGAGGAGCUUGCUCUUCUUGGAUGAGUUGCGCACGGGUGAGUAACGCGUAGGUAACCUGCCUUGUAGCGGGGGAUAACUAUUGGAAACGAUAGCUAAUACCGCAUAACAAUGGAUGACACAUGUCAUUUAUUUGAAAGGGGCAAUUGCUCCACUACAAGAUGGACCUGCGUUGUAUUAGCUAGUAGGUGAGGUAAUGGCUCACCUAGGCGACGAUACAUAGCCGACCUGAGAGGGUGAUCGGCCACACUGGGACUGAGACACGGCCCAGACUCCUACGGGAGGCAGCAGUAGGGAAUCUUCGGCAAUGGGGGCAAACCUGACCGAGCAACGCCGCGUGAGGGAAGAAGGUUUUCGGAUCGUAAAGCUCUGUUGUAAGUCAAGAACGGGUGUGAGAGUGGAAAGUUCACACUGUGACGGUAGCUGACCAGAAAGGGACGGCUAACUACGUG
rnacentral:rRNA from 1 species